rnacentral:rRNA from 1 species
UCCUUCACACACAUGGGCCGACUAUCUUCUAGGUUGGUAGAGAGGAUUCAUUACGCACGACUGGAUAUCUGACGACCCGCUCCAGAUCUCACGAAGCACGCAUUGAAAUAUUUUGCACAAUGGGGGCGCAAUGCCUGGAUUGCAGCCCAUGCCGAGUGGUUGAAAGAACGCCUUUCGGGUUGAAAACGCUAUUUUCAGUCGUGAGGAAGGGUAGUGUAGUUAAUAGCUGCAUUAUUGAACGUUAGCGACCAGAAGAAGCACCGGCUAACUCGUGCCAGCAGCCGCGGUAAUACGGAGGGUGCGAGCGUUAAUCGGAAUUACUGGGCGUAAAGCGCAUGCAGGUGGUUUGUUAAGUCAGAUGUGAAAGCCCGGGGCUCAACCUCGGAAUAGCAUUUGAAACUGGCAGACUAGAGUACUGUAGAGGGGGGUAGAAUUUCAGGUGUAGCGGUGAAAUGCGUAGAGAUCUGAAGGAAUACCGGUGGCGAAGGCGGCCCCCUGGACAGAUACUGACACUCAGAUGCGAAAGCGUGGGGAGCAAACAGGAUUAGAUACCCUGGUAGUCCACGCCGUAAACGAUGUCUACUUGGAGGUUGUGGCCUUGAGCCGUGGCUUUCGGAGCUAACGCGUUAAGUAGACCGCCUGGGGAGUACGGUCGCAAGAUUAAAACUCAAAUGAAUUGACGGGGGCCCGCACAAGCGGUGGAGCAUGUGGUUUAAUUCGAUGCAACGCGAAGAACCUUACCUACUCUUGACAUCCAGAGAACUUUCCAGAGAUGGAUUGGUGCCUUCGGGAACUCUGAGACAGGUGCUGCAUGGCUGUCGUCAGCUCGUGUUGUGAAAUGUUGGGUUAAGUCCCGCAACGAGCGCAACCCUUAUCCUUGUUUGCCAGCGAGUAAUGUCGGGAACUCCAGGGAGACUGCCGGUGAUAAACCGGAGGAAGGUGGGGACGACGUCAAGUCAUCAUGGCCCUUACGAGUAGGGCUACACACGUGCUACAAUGGCGCAUACAGAGGGCGGCCAACUUGCGAAAGUGAGCGAAUCCCAAAAAGUGCGUCGUAGUCCGGAUUGGAGUCUGCAACUCGACUCCAUGAAGUCGGAAUCGCUAGUAAUCGUGGAUCAGAAUGCCACGGUGAAUACGUUCCCGGGCCUUGUACACACCGCCCGUCACACCAUGGGAGUGCGCUGCAAAAGAAGCUACGGUCAGCUCAACGUGCGGAUACCCUACGUAUAUCUACAUGUCCUGU